rnacentral:rRNA from 1 species
GAUGAACGCUGGCGGCGUGCCUAAUACAUGCAAGUCGAGCGAACGGACGAGAAGCUUGCUUCUCUGAUGUUAGCGGCGGACGGGUGAGUAACACGUGGAUAACCUACCUAUAAGACUGGGAUAACUUCGGGAAACCGGAGCUAAUACCGGAUGAUAUUUUGAACCGCAUGGUUCAAAAGUGAAAGACGGUCUUGCUGUCACUUAUAGAUGGAUCCGCGCUGCAUUAGCUAGUUGGUAAGGUAACGGCUUACCAAGGCAACGAUGCAUAGCCGACCUGAGAGGGUGAUCGGCCACACUGGAGCUGAGACACGGUCCAGACUCCUACGGGAGGCAGCAGUAGGGAAUCUUCCGCAAUGGGCGAAAGCCUGACGGAGCAACGCCGCGUGAGUGAUGAAGGUCUUCGGAUCGUAAAACUCUGUUAUUAGGGAAGAACAUAUGUGUAAGUAACUGUGCACAUCUUGACGGUACCUAAUCAGAAAGCCACGGCUAACUACGUA